ACAGGUGGUCAGGUAGAGAAUACCAAGGCGCUUGAGAGAACUCGGGUGAAGGAACUAGGCAAAAUGGUGCCGUAACUUCGGGAGAAGGCACGCUGAUAUGUAGGUGAAGUGAUUUACUCAUGGAGCUGAAAUCAGUCGAAGAUACCAGCUGGCUGCAACUGUUUAUUAAAAACACAGCACUGUGCAAACACGAAAGUGGACGUAUACGGUGUGACGCCUGCCCGGUGCCGGAAGGUUAAUUGAUGGGGUUAUCCGUAAGGAGAAGCUCUUGAUCGAAGCCCCGGUAAACGGCGGCCGUAACUAUAACGGUCCUAAGGUAGCGAAAUUCCUUGUCGGGUAAGUUCCGACCUGCACGAAUGGCGUAAUGAUGGCCAGGCUGUCUCCACCCGAGACUCAGUGAAAUUGAACUCGCUGUGAAGAUGCAGUGUACCCGCGGCAAGACGGAAAGACCCCGUGAACCUUUACUAUAGCUUGACACUGAACACUGGUCCUUGAUGUGUAGGAUAGGUGGGAGGCUUUGAAGUGUGGACGCCAGUCUGCAUGGAGCCAUCCUUGAAAUACCACCCUUUAAUGGCUGGUGUUCUAACGUGGACCCGUUACCCGGGUUGCGGACAGUGUCUGGUGGGUAGUUUGACUGGGGCGGUCUCCUCCUAAAGAGUAACGGAGGAGCACGAAGGUUAGCUAAUCCUGGUCGGACAUCAGGAGGUUAGUGCAAAGGCAUAAGCUAGCUUGACUGCGAGAGUGACGGCUCGAGCAGGUGCGAAAGCAGGUCUUAGUGAUCCGGUGGUUCUGAAUGGAAGGGCCAUCGCUCAACGGAUAAAAGGUACUCCGGGGAUAACAGGCUGAUACCGCCCAAGAGUUCAUAUCGACGGCGGUGUUUGGCACCUCGAUGUCGGCUCAUCACAUCCUGGGGCUGAAGUAGGUCCCAAGGGUAUGGCUGUUCGCCAUUUAAAGUGGUACGCGAGCUGGGUUUAGAACGUCGUGAGACAGUUCGGUCCCUAUCUGCCGUGGGCGCUGGAGAAUUGAGGGGGGCUGCUCCUAGUACGAGAGGACCGGAGUGGACGCAUCACUGGUGUUCGGGUUGUCAUGCCAAUGGCAUUGCCCGGUAGCUAAAUGCGGAAGAGAUAAGUGCUGAAAGCAUCUAAGCACGAAACUUGCCCCG
rnacentral:rRNA from 1 species